rnacentral:rRNA from 1 species
AUUGAACGCUGGCGGCAUGCUUAACACAUGCACGUCGAACGAGUGGCGGACGGGUGAGUGAUGCUUGGGAAUCUAGCUAAUGGAGGGGGAUAACUGCGGGAAACUGUAGCUAAUACCGCGUACCAUAGGAUGAGCCCAAGUGGGAGUAGGUAGUUGGUGAGGUAAAGGCUCACCUGGCCGACGAUCUCUAGCUGGUCUGAGAGGAUGACCAGCCACACUGGGACCGAGACACGGCCCAGACUCCUACGGGAGGCAGCAGUGGGGAAUAUGGAGCAAUGGGGGCAACCUGACGCAGCCAUGCCGCGUGAAUGAAGAAGGCUUUCGGGUUGUAAAGUUCUUUCGGUAGCGAGGCGUUAUCUACAGAAGAAGCAACGGCUAACUCCGUGCCAGCAGCCGCGGUAAUAC